rnacentral:rRNA from 1 species
AUUGAACGCUGGCGGCAGGCCUAACACAUGCAAGUCGAGCGGAAGAAGGGAGCUUGCUCCUGGAAUCAGCGGAGGACGGGUGAGUAAUGCCUAGGAAUCUGCCUGGUAGUGGGGGAUAACGUCCGGAAACGGGCGCUAAUACCGCAUACGUUCUGAGUGUGAAAGAGGGGGAGCUUCGGACCUCACGCUACCAGAUGAGCCUAGGUCGGAUUAGCUCGUUGGUGGGGUAAAGGCCUACCAAGGAGACGAUCCGUAACUGGUCUGAGAGGAUGAUCAGUCACACUGGAACUGAGACACGGUCCAGACUCCUACGGGAGGCAGCAGUGGGGAAUAUUGGACAUUGGGCGAAAGCCUGAUCCAGCCAUGCCGCGUGUGUGCAGAGGGUCUUCGGAUUGUAAAGCACUUUAAGUUGGAAGGAAGGGCAGUAAGUUAAUACCUUGCUGUAUUGACGGUACCAACAGAAUAAGCCCCGGCUAACUUCGUG